GAUGAACGCUGGCGGCGUGCCUAAUACAUGCAAGUCGAGCGAAAAGAUGCGGCGCUUGCUCCUCUGUCGUUAGCCGCGCAGGUGUGAGUCACACGUGUAACCCCUCCCUAUCUUACUGGGAUCACUUCGGAACUCCGGCGCAUAUACCGGAUAAUCUCUUGCUCCGCAUGGGUCAUUAGUGAAUGACGGCUUUUGUGUAUCUACUCGCGGCUUCCGAGCCGGUUGAGCUAGUUGGUACGGUAACGGCUUAUCAAGGCAACGAGGCGUGGCCGACCGGACUGGGUGAUCGGCGACCCUGGAAGGGAGACACGGUCCAGGCUCCUACGGGAGGCAGCAGUAGGGAAUCGUCCGCAGUGGGCGAAAGCCUGACGGAGCGACGCCGCGUGAGUGAUGAAGGUCUUCGGAUCGUAAAACUCUGUUAUUAGGGAAGAACAAAUGUGUAAGUAACUAUGCACGUCUUGACGGUACCGAGUCAGAAAGCCACGGCUAACUACGUG
rnacentral:rRNA from 1 species